GGUAUCAAGGGUCCUAUAUAAACCUGCGCACAGGCAGGUUCAGUCACAUUGACGGCAAAAUGAAGUGGCUUGUGUUGUUGUGCGCUGUGAUGGCACUUUUGAUCUCUGCUAUGGCCCAGGACUACUACGACUAUACGAGUAGGUAUGCGGAGUUGGCAUCGCCUGUUCCCUCACACAUCGACGUAGAUGACCUGGUAGCGACACUCAGGGCAGCCAGCGACCAUUACUAAACGAAAUUCCGACGUUCUCCCACUAUACAUUAUUGGAUCAAAAGUGAAUGAUAGCUUUGUAGGUUAAAAUGUUUAUUUAUUAAAGUAUGUGACGAGCUUUUGUCCGAU